CACAGUUCAUUUUUAACUCGUUCUUUUUGAACGUGGGUGGGGUCGAGCAAGCGAGUGAUUUUUUUUCUUCGAUCGAUGAUUGGUGUUAAGAAGGGAAGCAACAUGAACACGACAUAUAGACUUCCUUCAACUAUAGGGAAUAUUAGGGAUAAUAGAGAUUUAAUAAUUGAGACAUCCAGAAGAUAUAGAAAGAUAUUUAUCACAAGAUCAUUCUUCUAAGCAAUAUGACAAAGUGUCUAUGAUCUUCAUCAAUUCAAUAUAUUCUUGCUUGCUGUAGAACUUUAUCAAAGAGAAACAUGUAAGAACUUGUUACAAAAGGAAAU
rnacentral:lncRNA from 1 species